ensembl:snoRNA
UGAAUUCAUGAUGAGCACCGAUCAUGUCUGACUCAUAAAAAAUGAAUAUUUUUCUUGAAUUCUGAGAUGCAA